AGGUAAUUGAUUGGCAAACAUUUACAAUUUUAAUAGACUUUUCAUCAUUGCACUCCAAACAGCAAAUUGUUCACUUUGUUUACGGAUUCUCAGACAGUUAAUCACGGCAUCCCGACAAUUCCGAUAUUAUACACCUGAAACAUAUGCUCACCGCUUGAAAAUCCAACGCGAAAUAACAGCACUUGCUCGCCCAAGAGAAGUUUAAGUAAAAAAUACAACUGCCGAAAGUUCUUAUCUCUCUGUUUAUGGGUGUGCAUUUGUUGUUUUCUUACACUUAAUGUUGUUGUUUUACCAGUUGGAGAGAAAAAAGCAAAUAGAUACACUGAAACAGCAACGAAUAAAAAAGAUAUAGAAGCCGACGGCCCCGACGAAGCGACUACGAAAGCUCUGGAUCGCUCGGCUGGCUCGAAGCUGACCGAGCCCAACGAUCGUACAGAAACUUUAAUAAAUAUAAUUCUGGCUAUUCUGACUAGACUGUUGUUGCUGUUCUUGCCGCCCGUGAUUAAUAAUAUUGCAGCGGAGCAGUCGUCGUCUUGGCAAAAUUGUUAACACUUCAGCUCGGAUCGGAUCGUAUCGUAUCGGAUCGGUUGGAUCGUUCGGAUUGGCUUGAAUCGGCUUGGAUCGCUUUCGAUCGCCGCGAAUCGGGGGCAUGCGCAUAAGAUCGACGCUCUAGUACCGCCGGUCUUAUCAGACUAGAUUAAGCGGAUUCCACUCACACGAACGCACAGCACUCCAUAGUAUAUAAUUCAAAUUGUUUAAUGGCACAUAUAAUAAAACCAUAUCUCUGGGUAUUUGUUUUCGGGGCUGUGUGUGCUUUUGAGCUUUCAUUAAAUAAAUAGUUUUUAUUACUUAUUUUUUUCACAGUUUAGAUUUAGAUUACCAAAAGUUGGGCACUCCGAAAAAAGGUCUUGAGUUCCGGCGCCUCUCGAGAUGCAUGCAAAAAAGUGUUGAAAAAUAUUUGGAUUUAAAUAAUUAUGUUGGUUCCAACACUUUGAAAAUGUAGAAACAUUGUAAAAUAUGCAAUUAUUUUAUUUUAAAAUAUAAUAAAGAGAAUUGAA